GUGCCAGCAGCCGCGGUAAUACGUAGGGGGCGAGCGUUGUCCGGAUUUAUUGGGCGUAAAGAGCUCGUAGGCGGUUCGGUAAGUCAGAUGUAAAAACUCCAGGCUCAACUUGGAGAGGCCAUCUGAUACUGCCGUGACUAGAGUCCGGUAGAGGAGCACGGAAUUCCUGGUGUAGCGGUGAAAUGCGCAGAUAUCAGGAGGAACACCAGCGGCGAAGGCGGUGCUCUGGGCCGGAACUGACGCUGAGGAGCGAAAGCGUGGGGAGCGAACAGGAUUAGAUACCCUAGUAGUCC
rnacentral:rRNA from 1 species